rnacentral:rRNA from 1 species
UAAUGGGUCAGCGACUUAUAUUCUGUAGCAAGGUUAACCGAAUAGGGGAGCCGAAGGGAAACCGAGUCUUAACUGGGCGUUAAGUUGCAGGGUAUAGACCCGAAACCCGGUGAUCUAGCCAUGGGCAGGUUGAAGGUUGGGUAACACUAACUGGAGGACCGAACCGACUAAUGUUGAAAAAUUAGCGGAUGACCUGUGGCUGGGGGUGAAAGGCCAAUCAAACCGGGAGAUAGCUGGUUCUCCCCGAAAGCUAUUUAGGUAGCGCCUCGUGAAUUCAUCUCCGGGGGUAGAGCACUGUUUCGGCUAGGGGGCCAUCCCGGCUUACCAACCCGAUGCAAACUGCGAAUACCGGAGAAUGUUAUCACGGGAGACACACGGCGGGUGCUAACGUCCGUCGUGAAGAGGGAAACAACCCAGACCGCCAGCUAAGGUCCCAAAGUCAUGGUUAAGUGGGAAACGAUGUGGGAAGGCCCAGACAGCCAGGAUGUUGGCUUAGAAGCAGCCAUCAUUUAAAGAAAGCGUAAUAGCUCACUGGUCGAGUCGGCCUGCGCGGAAGAUGUAACGGGGCUAAACCAUGCACCGAAGCUGCGGCAGCGACACUAUGUGUUGUUGGGUAGGGGAGCGUUCUGUAAGCCGUUGAAGGUGUGCUGUGAGGCAUGCUGGAGGUAUCAGAAGUGCGAAUGCUGACAUAAGUAACGAUAAAGCGGGUGAAAAGCCCGCUCGCCGGAAGACCAAGGGUUCCUGUCCAACGUUAAUCGGGGCAGGGUGAGUCGACCCCUAAGGCGAGGCCGAAAGGCGUAGUCGAUGGGAAACAGGUUAAUAUUCCUGUACUUGGUGUUACUGCGAAGGGGGGACGGAGAAGGCUAUGUCGGCCGGGCGACGGUUGUCCCGGUUUAAGCGUGUAGGUGUGUGCUCCAGGCAAAUCCGGUGCACUUUAACACUGAGGCGUGAUGACGAGGCACUACGGUGCUGAAGUGACAAAUGCCCUGCUUCCAGGAAAAGCCUCUAAGCAUCAGGUAACACGAAAUCGUACCCCAAACCGACACAGGUGGUCAGGUAGAGAAUACCAAGGCGCUUGAGAGAACUCGGGUGAAGGAACUAGGCAAAAUGGUGCCGUAACUUCGGGAGAAGGCACGCUGAUAUGUAGGUGAAGUGGUUUACCCAUGGAGCUGAAAUCAGUCGAAGAUACCAGCUGGCUGCAACUGUUUAUUAAAAACACAGCACUGUGCAAACACGAAAGUGGACGUAUACGGUGUGACGCCUGCCCGGUGCCGGAAGGUUAAUUGAUGGGGUUAUCCUCGCGGAGAAGCUCUUGAUCGAAGCCCCGGUAAACGGCGGCCGUAACUAUAACGGUCCUAAGGUAGCGAAAUUCCUUGUCGGGUAAGUUCCGACCUGCACGAAUGGCGUAAUGAUGGCCAGGCUGUCUCCACCCGAGACUCAGUGAAAUUGAACUCGCUGUGAAGAUGCAGUGUACCCGCGGCAAGACGGAAAGACCCCGUGAACCUUUACUAUAGCUUGACACUGAACACUGGUCCUUGAUGUGUAGGAUAGGUGGGAGGCUUUGAAGUGUGGACGCCAGUCUGCAUGGAGCCGCCCUUGAAAUACCACCCUUUAAUGGCUGGUGUUCUAACGUGGGCCCGUAAUCCGGGUUGCGGACAGUGUCUGGUGGGUAGUUUGACUGGGGCGGUCUCCUCCUAAAGAGUAACGGAGGAGCACGAAGGUCAGCUAAUCCUGGUCGGACAUCAGGAGGUUAGUGCAAUGGCAUAAGCUGGCUUGACUGCGAGCGUGACGGCGCGAGCAGGUGCGAAAGCAGGUCAUAGUGAUCCGGUGGUUCUGAAUGGAAGGGCCAUCGCUCAACGGAUAAAAGGUACUCCGGGGAUAACAGGCUGAUACCGCCCAAGAGUUCAUAUCGACGGCGGUGUUUGGCACCUCGAUGUCGGCUCAUCACAUCCUGGGGCUGAAGUAGGUCCCAAGGGUAUGGCUGUUCGCCAUUUAAAGUGGUACGCGAGCUGGGUUUAGAACGUCGUGAGACAGUUCGGUCCCUAUCUGCCGUGGGCGCUGGAGAACUGAGGGGGGCUGCUCCUAGUAC